CUUCGUCCUAUCCUGAAGAUUUUAGUUCUUCUCUCUGAUUAAAAUCCUCGAGCAAUUGUAAUGCAAUGUCAGCUGUUUCUUUUCGUCCUCAUGCGAUCCCAUCGUGGAAUGUCACAGCGAGAAGGUGAGAAUUCCAGUUUCUUCGCUGCUUCAGAGAGGGAACUUUCGACCCAUUCUAUUACAAAACCCAUAUAAGGAACAUCCGUAAGAUUGCCAUAUGGAGUGUCAUCUUUAUCUUCAACAAAUUGCUGUAGGAAUUCUAAUUUAAAAAGCUCCUAAGAGGGAUAAGGGAAUUGUUGUCGAUACUCACGAAACUAUUGGAGAGGGGCUCCCUCCAUGCUAUUCCAAACAAAAUAAAUUUUAACCUCCUAUCAGCUUUAUUGAUUUUGAAAGUAUUGCUCAGCCUGGACAAUCCAAUCUUUUUGGGUUUUCAUUAUAGAAUUUGGGCAUAGCGAUCGUUUGUGGAUGCAACAGAUCUUCUUCCAAUAUUAGAGCUAAAGGCCUCAUGCUAUUGGUUGCAUUCCCAUCAGUAGUCAACUGUUGAUGAAGAUAUUGUAUGAGAGUUUCAUCAUUCCCAGCUGCUGCCUCCUUCCAUAUCAAC
rnacentral:misc_RNA from 1 species